rnacentral:rRNA from 1 species
CUCAUGAUGAACGCUAGCUACAGGCUUAACACAUGCAAGUCGAGGGGCAGCAUGGUCUUAGCUUGCUAAGGCCGAUGGCGACCGGCGCACGGGUGAGUAACGCGUAUCCAACCUGCCUUACACUCUUGGACAGCCUUCUGAAAGGGAGAUUAAUACAAGAUGUUAUCAUGAGUAAGCAUUUUCGCAUGAUUAAAGGUUUACCGGUGUAAGAUGGGGAUGCGUUCCAUUAGAUAGUAGGCGGGGUAACGGCCCACCUAGUCUUCGAUGGAUAGGGGUUCUGAGAGGAAGGUCCCCCACAUUGGAACUGAGACACGGUCCAAACUCCUACGGGAGGCAGCAGUGAGGAAUAUUGGUCAAUGGACGAGAGUCUGAACCAGCCAAGUAGCGUGAAGGAUGAAGGUUCUAUGGAUUGUAAACUUCUUUUAUACGGGAAUAAACGGAUCCACGUGUGGAUUUUUGCAUGUACCGUAUGAAUAAGGAUCGGCUAACUCCGUGCCAGCAGCCGCGGUAAUACGGAGGAUCCGAGCGUUAUCCGGAUUUAUUGGGUUUAAAGGGAGCGUAGAUGGGUUGUUAAGUCAGUUGUGAAAGUUUGCGGCUCAACCGUAAAAUUGCAAUUGAUACUGGCAGUCUUGAGUACAGUUGAGGUAGGCGGAAUUCGUGGUGUAGCGGUGAAAUGCUUAGAUAUCACGAAGAACUCCGAUUGCGAAGGCAGCUUACUAACCUGUAACUGACAUUGAUGCUCGAAAGUGUGGGUAUCAAACAGGAUUAGAUACCCUGGUAGUCCACACGGUAAACGAUGAAUACUCGCUGUAGGCGAUAUACAGUCUGCGGCCAAGCGAAAGCAUUAAGUAUUCCACCUGGGGAGUACGCCGGCAACGGUGAAACUCAAAGGAAUUGACGGGGGCCCGCACAAGCGGAGGAACAUGUGGUUUAAUUCGAUGAUACGCGAGGAACCUUACCCGGGCUUAAAUUGCAACCGAAUAUGGCGGAAACGCUAUAGCUAGCAAUAGCGGUUGUGAAGGUGCUGCAUGGUUGUCGUCAGCUCGUGCCGUGAGGUGUCGGCUUAAGUGCCAUAACGAGCGCAACCCUUGCCGAUAGUUACUAACAGGUCAUGCUGAGGACUCUGUCGGGACUGCCAUCGUAAGAUGUGAGGAAGGUGGGGAUGACGUCAAAUCAGCACGGCCCUUACGUCCGGGGCUACACACGUGUUACAAUGGGGGGUACAGAGGGCUGCUACCACGCAAGUGGAUGCCAAUCCCAAAAACCUCUCUCAGUUCGGAUUGAAGUCUGCAACCCGACUUCAUGAAGCUGGAUUCGCUAGUAAUCGCGCAUCAGCCACGGCGCGGUGAAUACGUUCCCGGGCCUUGUACACACCGCCCGUCAAGCCAUGGGAGCCGGGGGUACCUGAAGUGCGUAACCGCAAGGAGCGCCCUAGGGUAAAAC